rnacentral:rRNA from 1 species
GAUGAACGCUGGCGGCGUGCCUAAUACAUGCAAGUCGAGCGAACGGACGAGAAGCUUGCUUCUCUGAUGUUAGCGGCGGACGGGUGAGUAACACGUGGAUAACCUACCUAUAAGACUGGGAUAACUUCGGGAAACCGGAGCUAAUACCGGAUAAUAUUUUGAACCGCAUGGUUCAAAAGUGAAAGACGGUCUUGCUGUCACUUAUAGAUGGAUCCGCGCUGCAUUAGCUAGUUGGUAAGGUAACGGCUUACCAAGGCAACGAUGCAUAGCCGACCUGAGAGGGUGAUUCGGCCACACGGAAACGAGAACACGUUCCGAACCCCAACGGGAGGCGCAGUAAGGAAUUCUCCCCCAAUGGGCGAAAGCCGAACGAGGCAACGCCGCGUGAUUAAGAAGGUUCUCCGAUUCGUAAAACUCGUUUAUUAGGAAAAAACAAAGGUGAAAUAAACGGUGAACACUUGGACGUAACCAAUUCAAAAAGCCACGGCAAACAACUG